UACGUAGGGUGCAAGCGUUAAUCGGAAUUACUGGGCGUAAAGCGUGCGCAGGCGGCUUUGCAAGACAGAUGUGAAAUCCCCGGGCUCAACCUGGGAACUGCAUUGUGACUGCAUGGCUAGAGUACGGUAGAGGGGGAUGGAAUUCCGCGUGUAGCAGUGAAAUGCGUAGAUAUGCGGAGGAACACCGAUGGCGAAGGCAAUCCCCUGGACCUGUACUGACGCUCAUGCACGAAAGCGUGGGGAGCAAACAGG
rnacentral:rRNA from 1 species